CCCGAGACUGAGCCCGAGACUGACCCGGAGACUGAGCCCGGAGACUGAGCCCGAGACUGACCCGGAGACUGAGCCGGCAGCCACUAUGAACUGUAGCUACUGGUCUAGUCGACCAUCUACACUGAUGAAGUAGAUUAGCUGCAGUAAGAUGACACUAACCUGCCGUCAUCGUGUUCUGAUCAGUGACAGGUUAGAUGGGCCUGAGAUGCUGAUAAAGCUCUGUACUUUACAGUUUAACAGGAUGCUGUCGGGACUCGGGAAAGGUUCUCCACACCAUGUCUUCUAUGAACAAAUCAUUCUGUACCCCUUCAAUGCAGUAGAGGGAAUCUCUCUCUCACACACACACACACACACACACACACACACACACACACACACACACGACAAGCAGUUACCAAAAGCAGCAGUUAAAUAGGUUGUUUAUGAAGGUUAGCGUGCCAUGGACUCCAGUUCCUCCACGCUUCUCUAGUUCUCUGUCAUCAGAGCUGUAGUGAACCACUGUUAUUGUCGAGGUCCCUGGAAUGGAGCUCUGCUUUCCCAUCAUCAUAGCG
ensembl:lncRNA